rnacentral:rRNA from 1 species
GUCCACGCCGUAAACGUUGGGCGCUAGGUGUGGGGGCCAUUCCACGGUCUCUGUGCCGUAGCUAACGCAUUAAGCGCCCCGCCUGGGGAGUACGGCCGCAAGGCUAAAACUCAAAGGAAUUGACGGGGGCCCGCACAAGCGGCGGAGCAUGUGGAUUAAUUCGAUGCAACGCGAAGAACCUUACCUGGGUUUGACAUGCGCCAGACGCUGGUAGAGAUAUCAGUUCCCUUGUGGUUGGUGUGCAGGUGGUGCAUGGCUGUCGU